rnacentral:rRNA from 1 species
CUAUUGCUAUCAGGGUUUGACUAAGCCAUGCGAGUCGAGAGGUGAAAGACCUCGGCAUACUGCUCGUAACACGUGGAUAAUCUGCCCUCAGGUGAGGAAUAAUCCCGGGAAACUGGGGCUAAUGCCUCAUAGGAGACGGGUGCUGGAAGCUCUGUCUCCGAAAGGUCCGCCGCCUGAGGAUGAGUCGCGUCCGAUUAGGUUGUUGUGGGGUAACGGCCCACAAGCCUUUGAUCGGUGCGGGUUGUGGGAGCAAGAGCCCGGAGAGGGCACUGAGCAAGGGGCCCAGGUCCUACGGGGCGCAGCAGGCGCGAUG